UUGUAGCCUUGCACCGUUGUGCGACGGUUGUGCCUGGUCCUUUCUUUGACUAGUUUUUUUCCUCGUUCUGAUACUUGUGGUAGUCGAAUAACUUUCAUGUGGGUUUUUUUCCAAUUCUGGUGAGCGUCAUGUGCUACAGCCACAGGACAGGUGCUGCAGUAUGAUAAUGUUUAGAAUAGAGGCAAGAAUGUCAGACGCGUGAGGCCGGUUCAACAGAGCAAUAGGAACUCAGCUGCCAGCCAGUGCUUUUUCUUCGCGUGCACAAAAUACAGCCGAAGCACAACGCGACUAGUUACGAAGACGCGAAACUUCAGUUUGCUGGAUAUUUCGAAAGGCCGAGAGCCGUUCUCAGACUGCCAUAGCCCAUACUCCGAAUCCGUUAUCCUCGCAAGCGUUCCCGAUGCUCGGCGGAACUAACGUGACUUGAGCCUUCAAUGAAGACAAUCAUGCUGAUUUCCAUCGCUAAGAGAAGAGAAAAAUGCAUGUGUCGACUCGUAUUCGCUGUGUCGCAUUCUUAGAGCUUGGUGGUUCGGUGAGCGAAGUCCAAGAAGACAUAGCGAGUGUGGGCUUGUACUGUGUGUGGAUUGUCGAAAUUUGUCGCGCAGUCCCCCGACCAGCCGGAUGCCGGACAACGAACACUCCGCACACAGCUGACGGCCAGCACCUUCGCUACUGCUUGACUCAACCGAUGGAACGGCACAUACUUUAUAAAUGAGAUAUGCCCAACGCUAUUUUAUGAGAUUCAGACGUAGAUCUACGGAUGAGUGAUGGGGCGAUGAGCAGAGAUUACUAGUACCUUGAGAGCCUAGUGGCCUGCAGUAUUGAACUCAUAGAAGCCAAGUGGACAUCACCCUGGCCUGUAUCAAGUGCUUGACGCACAUGGGUCAACAGACUGGUGAAGAAAAACUGGUGUGUAAAUCCCUUGUCCAGAAGUCUAAACAACCCGACGUGGAAAGUAUGGUAGCAGAGGGCAAGAAGAAGGCUGCAAGCAGCCAGCAGCAAGGAGACUUGAAAAAAAGCAAAAUUUUCUAUAUAAUAGCCAUCCCUAGCCCCGACCACCAUCCCCUAGGGAAAUAUUGAAUUUAUAGCUGCCUACCCGUGUCUGUUGUUCACGCCGAAGCACCGCCUAAACUACCCUAGCCUAUCACGAAGUGCUAGUUGUGGUGUGGAAAUUCGCAUCACUUCCAUCCCACUCCAGAUGCUAUUGACUUGCCGCUUCGGACUUGGUAUUGAAUGUAUUCAUAUUGAUUUUAUAUGCAACCAAGAAUACUUUAUUGAUAAAACUAUACCAGUAGCUGGCCAUUUUAACGAGGUGCCCUGGUUCGAGUCCUGGUGGUGACAGUCAAUUGUUUCAGGCUUUUCCCAUUUUCAACUCCCUCAACCUUAUGACUGCAACAGAGUAUGUAUAUGCAUUUUAAAUGCAAGAGGCAUUGGGGAUUUUCAUAGGCAAAACGUGAAUGAGUGCUUUCCGUUGCAUCAUCACCACCGCUCGCCUGCGUCUUCAUCGUUGAGGGUGGUGGCGUUCCAGGGUAUACAGACAACUCACUCUGACUAACCUUUGCUGUUUUAAUACCAUGGUGUUCUUUGAUGCAGAGGAUUAUGUCACAUAGCCUAACCCAAUUUAUCCCUCCCGUUCAUGAUACUCGUCAGGAAAUAGACAUGACAAAUCCAUUAUGUUGUCCAAUGCAUAUCCAACAAUUAAACAUGCCACAAAUCACACCAAAGUGGUUGACUGGAACCCAAUCUCGUAGCUCAAUCAUGCUCUGGUUGUGGAGUC